rnacentral:rRNA from 1 species
GACGAACGCUGGCGGCGUGCUUAACACAUGCAAGUCGAACGGAAAGGCCCUGCUUUUGUGGGGUGCUCGAGUGGCGAACGGGUGAGUAACACGUGAGUAACCUGCCCUUGACUUUGGGAUAACUUCAGGAAACUGGGGCUAAUACCGGAUAUGAGCUCCUGCUGCAUGUUGGGGGUUGGAAAGUUUCGGCGGUUGGGGAUGGACUCGCGGCUUAUCAGCUUGUUGGUGGGGUAGUGGCUUACCAAGGCUUUGACGGGUAGCCGGCCUGAGAGGGUGACCGGCCACAUUGGGACUGAGAUACGGCCCAGACUCCUACGGGAGGCAGCAGUGGGGAAUAUUGCACAAUGGGCGGAAGCCUGAUGCAGCAACGCCGCGUGCGGGAUGACGGCCUUCGGGUUGUAAACCGCUUUCGCCUGGGAAGAAGCGUGAGUGACGGUAAUGGGUAAAGAAGCACCGGCUAACUACGUG